UGAGGAAUAUUGGUCAAUGGGGGCAACCCUGAACAAGCCAAGUCGCGUGAAGGAUGAAGGUCUUAUGGAUUGUAAACUUCUUUUAUACAGGAAUAAAUUGGGGGACGUGUCCCCUUUUGCAUGUACUGUAUGAAUAAGGAUCGGCUAACUCCGUGCCGGCAGCCGCGGUAAUACGGAGGAUCCGAGCGUUAUCCGGAUUUAUUGGGUUUAAAGGGUGCGCAGGCGGGAUGUUAAGUCGGCGGUGAAAUUUUGCAGCUCAACUGUAAAAGUGCCUUCGAUACUGGCUUCCUUGAGUGUGGAUGAAGUAGGCGGAAUUUGUGGUGUAGCGGUGAAAUGCUUAGAUAUCACGAGGAACUCCGAUUGCGCAGGCAGCUUACUAAGCCACAACUGACGCUCAUGCACGAAGGCGUGGGGAUCAAACA
rnacentral:rRNA from 1 species